AUUGAACGCUGGCGGCAGGCUUAACACAUGCAAGUCGAGCGGAGAUUUCGGUCUUAGCGGCGAACGGGUGAGUAAUACCUAGGAAUCUGCCUAUUAGUGGGGGAUAACGGCUCGAAAGGGUCGCUAAUACCGCAUACGUCCUACGGGAGAAAGUGGGGGAUCUUCGGACCUCACGCUAAUAGAUGAGCCUAGGCCGGAUUAGCUAGUUGGUAGGGUAAAGGCCUACCAAGGCGACGAUCCGUAGCUGGUCUGAGAGGAUGAUCAGCCACACUGGAACUGAGACACGGUCCAGACUCCUACGGGAGGCAGCAGUGGGGAAUAUUGGACAAUGGGGGCAACCCUGAUCCAGCCAUGCCGCGUGUGUGAAGAAGGCCU
rnacentral:rRNA from 1 species